rnacentral:rRNA from 1 species
AUUGAACGCUGGCGGCAUGCCUUACACAUGCAAGUCGAACGGUAACGCGGGGCAACCUGGCGACGAGUGGCGAACGGGUGAGUAAUACAUCGGAACGUGCCCAGUAGUGGGGGAUAGCCCGGCGAAAGCCGGAUUAAUACCGCAUACGACCUACGGGUGAAAGGGGGGGAUCGCAAGACCUCUCGCUAUUGGAGCGGCCGAUGUCAGAUUAGGUAGUUGGUGGGGUAAAAGCCUACCAAGCCGACGAUCUGUAGCUGGUCUGAGAGGACGACCAGCCACACUGGGACUGAGACACGGCCCAGACUCCUACGGGAGGCAGCAGUGGGGAAUUUUGGACAAUGGGCGCAAGCCUGAUCCAGCCAUGCCGCGUGCGGGAAGAAGGCCUUCGGGUUGUAAACCGCUUUUGUCAGGGAAGAAACGCUCCGGGAUAAUACCUCGGGGUAAUGACGGUACCUGAAGAAUAAGCACCGGCUAACUACGUGCCAGCAGCCGCGGUAAUACGUAGGGUGCAAGCGUUAAUCGGAAUUACUGGGCGUAAAGCGUGCGCAGGCGGUUUUGUAAGACAGAGGUGAAAUCCCCGGGCUCAACCUGGGAACUGCCUUUGUGACUGCAAGGCUUGAGUGCGGCAGAGGGGGAUGGAAUUCCGCGUGU